rnacentral:rRNA from 1 species
GACGAACGCUGGCGGCGUGCCUAAUACAUGCAAGUAGGACGCAGUUGCGAACGGGUGGGUAACGCGUAGGUAAAUGACUAUUAGAGGGGGAUAACUAUUGGAAACGAUAGCUAAUACCGCAUACUAGUAGAUGGACCUGCGUUGUAUUAGCUAGUAGGUAGGGUAAUGGCCUACCUAGGCGACGAUACAUAGCCGACCUGGGAGGGGUAUCGGCCACACUGGGACUGAGACACGGCCCAGACUCCUACGGGAGGCAGCAGUAGGGAAACUUCCGCAAUGGGGGGAAACCUGACCGAGCAACGCCGCGUGAGUGAAGAAGGUUUUCGGAUCGUAAAGCUCUGUUGUUAAGGAAGCGGUACUUAACCAGAAAGCGACGGCUAACUACGUGCCAGCAGCCGCGGUAAUAC